GACGAACGCUGGCGGCGUGCUUAACACAUGCAAGUCGAACGGUGAAGGGACCGGUUUUUGCUGGUUCUAGAUGAGUGGCGAACGGGUGAGUAACACGUGAGUAACCUGCCCCCUUCUUCUGGAUAACCGCAUGAAAGUGUGGCUAAUACGGGAUAUUCUGCGCCUGCUGCAUGGUGGGUGUGGGAAAGAUAUUGUUUCGGUGGGGGAUGGGCUCGCGGCCUAUCAGCUUGUUGGUGGGGUGAUGGCCUACCAAGGCGGUGACGGGUAGCCGGCCUGAGAGGGUGGACGGUCACACUGGGACUGAGACACGGCCCAGACUCCUACGGGAGGCAGCAGUGGGGAAUAUUGCACAAUGGGCGCAAGCCUGAUGCAGCGACGCCGCGUGAGGGAUGGAGGCCUUCGGGUUGUAAACCUCUUUCGCCAGUGAAGCAGGCCUGUCCCUUUUGUGGGUGGGUUGACGGUAGCUGGAUAAGAAGCGCCGGCUAACUACGUG
rnacentral:rRNA from 1 species